UGGGGGCGGGACCUGGCCGGGCGCCGGGACGGGAGGAGUCCCGGCGGCGCCUCGGACUUUUGCUCCCACAAGCCCUGCCUCGGAGGCGGGGGAGCUGGACCAGCAGCCGCCUGGAACGUCCGAGUCGCCGUUGCCGGGGCUCCCGCGCUCCCCAGAACGGUGGGACGCGGGGCUCGGCAGCCGCCAGCGGAACAUGGCGCCCUGGACGCUGUGGCGCUGCUGCCAGCGCGUCGUGGGUUGGGUGCCGGUGCUCUUCAUCACCUUCGUGGUCGUCUGGUCCUACUACGCGUACGUGGUGGAGCUCUGCGUGUUUACUAUUUUUGGAAAUGAAGAAAAUGGAAAGACCGUUGUUUACCUUGUGGCUUUCCAUCUGUUCUUUGUUAUGUUUGUAUGGUCCUAUUGGAUGACAAUUUUCACAUCUCCCGCUUCCCCCUCCAAAGAGUUCUACUUGUCCAAUUCUGAAAAGGAACGUUAUGAGAAAGAAUUCAGCCAAGAAAGACAACAAGAAAUUUUGAGAAGAGCAGCAAGAGCUUUACCUAUCUAUACCACAUCAGCUUCAAAAACUAUCAGAUAUUGUGAAAAAUGUCAGCUGAUUAAACCUGAUCGGGCGCAUCACUGCUCAGCAUGUGACUCAUGUAUUCUUAAGAUGGAUCAUCACUGUCCUUGGGUGAAUAACUGUGUGGGAUUUUCUAAUUACAAAUUCUUCCUGCUGUUUUUAUUAUAUUCCCUAUUAUAUUGCCUUUUCGUGGCUGCAACAGUUUUAGAGUACUUUAUAAAAUUUUGGACGCUUUGCCGCAGGAAAUCUACAGAGAGUUGUCCAAAGAAUGAACUGACAGAUACACGUGCAAAAUUCCACGUACUUUUUCUUUUCUUUGUGUCUGCAAUGUUCUUCAUCAGCGUCCUCUCACUUUUCAGCUACCACUGCUGGCUAGUUGGAAAAAAUAGAACAACAAUAGAAUCAUUCCGUGCACCCACGUUUUCAUAUGGACCUGAUGGAAAUGGUUUCUCUCUUGGAUGCAGUAAAAAUUGGAGACAAGUCUUUGGUGAUGAAAAGAAAUAUUGGCUACUUCCAAUAUUUUCAAGCUUGGGUGACGGUUGCAGUUUUCCAACUCGCCUUGUGGGGAUGGAUCCAGAACAAGCUUCUGUUACAAACCGGAAUGAGUAUGCCAGAAGAUCUAAACUGCAGAGGUAGAAAGCAGAAAACUUGGGAAAUGACAGUAGUGGCUCAAAUCAGCCUUUUCCUAUCAAACCACUUAGUGAAUCAAAAAACCGCUUGUUGGACAGUGAAUCUCAGUGGCUGGAGAAUGGAGCUGAAGAAGGCAUCGUCAAAUCAGGUGUAUGAAAACAUUAUAGACUGAUAUUUUCAAUUUUCAUUUGCAAGAAAAUGAUCAAUGGAAUGAAAUAAUUGAAGUAUAACAGAAGAUAUAUUUUUUAAAACAGAAAGCCUUUGUACAGUUCCUGGGAUUCACAGAAGCAUUACUCCAGAGCAGAACGAUGCCUUAAUCUUAAGUGUCCAUUUGUGCAGCAUUGACUUAGAGCUACAAAAGUGACUUAAUGUUAUUCUGGAAAUAAUACUUACCUGUUAUGAGAUGCUAUAAUAUGAGCUGUCAUCACAUUUUAACAUGCAUAUGUAUUUUUUGAUACCUGAAUUACAUUAUUAGAUUAAGUAUCCAUAUACAUUUUCACUCCAAAAACACAAGCUUAAAAACUUGAAAGUAAAGUACAUCUAGGGCAAAUGGUGGCUGAAAGUGAAUAAUAUUCAAAUUACUGUUGCUUGUACUGUAUAAGGAAAACUGCUUUUUUAAAUUGGGUAUUUGCUAACUUAUAAUUACUAUUUUAUACUUUUAAACAUUUUUAAUAACUUUUUUUAUUGUUGGCUAUAACAGAAGGAUUCAGAUAUCUAAAUAUCAUUUAGAACAUAGAACACAUUGGUCUAAUUCAUCGAAAGCUUAGUUAUAAGCAUUAAUACAACCAUGUAGUAGAGCAAGUGCCCAAGGCUUAAAGGGAACUUGGCAGUAUAAGAAACAUUUUGGGUUCUCUCUGCUAUUUUACAACUUUUUUUGUUGAACUUUCAGGGGUAUGUACAUGGGCAGACAAACACAAAGGUACAUGUGCUGGAGAAAUACUGGACACAGUAGGAAGAAGUAUAGGUGUCCAGAAGAAAAGCUAAGAGGAAUAUUGUAAUUUGUUAAAAAAAAAAAAAAAAAAGUUUUGAGUUUUAACAGCAGUUAGAAUAAAGCAUGCUGUUGACUUGACUUUCAAAUUUCAGUGUAGGUAAUGACUAAAAAUUACUUUGAAACUUUUUACAGUAAUACUGUAACAGCUUAAACAGUGAUUUAAAAUGCAAUUCAAACUAGGCAAAAAAAACUUUAGAAUAAGUUUUCCUCCUGGCUGUCAGUUGGAAAUUCUAACCUGAGUGGUCAUUUUACAUUCCCAGUCUCUGAGAAGUGGAUUCUACUCUUAGAUGCACAAUCUUAAGUCUGACUUCCUGACAGCAACCCCUUUAUGACUAGACACAUUUCUCCUUUUUCCUUUUAAAAUCUAAGCGACAGCAGUUGUUGCAUUAACUCCAAAGAAAAGUACAGAAUAAACAAUGUAGAAAUGUUACUCCUCAUUUACACCUUUUAGUCAGGCACACACACACACACACCCCCCAAAAUAAUUGAUUACUUCCAGUGAGUGGGUGGAGAUGAAUCUCAGCAGCAUCUGUGAGUACCACAGGUUGGAGUUUCCUGUCUGUAAAAUGGGACUGCAGGGGAGGGGGUGUUGUGAAUGAGUUGGACUGGAUGACUUCUAACAUUCUGCGAUGCCUAAUUUUGCAAAAUCACUUUUCAUUCACCCAAUAAUUUUUUUUCUUCUUUUUUCCACAGAGUCUUGCUCUGUCUCCCAGGCAGGAGUGCAGUGGUGGGAUCUUGGCUCGCUGCAACCUCUGCCUCCCCGGUUCAAUAGAGUCUCCUGCCUCAGCCUUCCAAGUAGCUGGGAUUACAGGCUCAUGCCACCAUGCCCGGCUAAUUUUUACAUUUUUAGAAGAGACGAGGUUUCACCAUGUUGACCAGGCUGAUCACGAACUCCUGACCUCAAAUAAUCCACUCACCUCAGCUUCCCAAAGUGCUGGGAUUACAGGCAUGAGCCACCAUGCCCUGCCCCAAUAAAUUCUUUGGAGUACCUUCUGUAUGCUAAAUAAUACACUAGGAAUAGCUCUAUCAUUUCCUAGUACAGCAUAAAUUUUAUGGUUGCUACUGUAGGUUUAUAAUUUGUUGUUUAUAAUUUGGUCUAAUUUCCAUCAGCCAUACUAAUAAUAGAUUUAAAAGGAGGCAACUUUUUUUCUUUUUGAACCAAAGGAAUGAGUUAGCUUUGAAAACAUAAUUUGGGAUAUUACAGUAUGGAUUCUUCUACCUUUGUUUCAACUCCUUAAUAAUCUUGAUUAUAGCAAACUAGAAUGAGAGUUAAGAGAUACCAAUUAUUGCCGGGCGUGUUGGCUCAUGCCUGUAAUCCCAGCACUUUGGGAGGCCGAGGCUGGCGGAUCACCUGGCGGAUCACCUGAGGUCAGGGGUUCGAGAUUAGCCUGGUCAAAAUGGCAAAACCCUGUCUCCACUAAAAAUACAAAAAAAACAAAACAAAACUGUCCAGGCAUGGUGGCACACGCCUGUAGUCCCAGCUGCUCGGGAGGUGGAGGCAGGAGAAUCACUUGAACCCAGGAGGUGGAGGUUGCGGUGAGCCAAGAUCGUGCCACACCUGGGUGACAAUAGUGAAACUCCAUCUCAAAAAAAAAAUAUAUAUAUAUAUAUAUCAAUUACCAACUAAAAACAUAACUUCAGUUUGGCAGUUUGCAUAUUAUAAAGAGAUAAAUGUUAAAACAUACUUGACUACUUUCAGAAAUGUUCUCCUGGUACUUUUUGUAUUUCUACAUUCAGAUAAAAAGAUUUGCAUGCACCUGGCCAACACCAAGGAAACUUUAUUUUUUUCUUCACUAUUAUGCACUUUCAUGGUGUAGUCUUUCUCAAUUCUUUUAAUUUUUGUUAUUUAGCAUCUUUAAAUAGCACAGCAAACAUCUUUUCAGAAAUUUUCAGUUAAAGCCUUUGAAUUACUUAUCUUUGAUUUAAUUUACAGCCAGCAUUUUGCCACAUUCUAAAUAAUAUUUAGCUGAACUGAUUGAUAUGUAUUAAUGACCAUUCUAGCAAAGGCCAACAAGUGGUGUGGGAAUCAGGGAAAGGCUGCCUCUUUGGUAUCUCAACUGGUAUUGAUUAUUGCUAUCAACUAUUUGGGGAGAAAAAAUCAAAAUGAAGCCCUGUCAAAUUUUAGAAGUACUAUCUUUGGUCCUUCAAACACUUGACUUUUGUGAUGACACCUUAAGAAAAAUAAGGUUGAAGUUCAGGUCUUGCCAUUGCCAUUAAAAACAAAUUAGGAGACUUGGUUUACCUGGGAACAAAUUUACUUGAAUAUUCAGUACCUGAAACUAUGCCAAACCAAAGAGCAGCUGCAGUACACUAGUUAGUGUAAAUGAACAAGUUUACAAAGUUUAUUUUCAUCUAUACCUAAGGAUGAUUUUUUAAAAACUUUUUACAUAUUAGUGGUUAUGAUCCAAUGUGUCAUGAGUGAAUUUAACUGUAAGGUGGUUUAAAUCAAAUAUGCAAUGUUUACUUGAAUUGUAUUUCUAUUAGCAGAUUUUGACUAUGUUUACAGGACUGUUUAAGGAUUAUCAGGCAUGUGAGAUCUCCUUUUAGUUAUCUUUAAAGUAGAUGUAUAUUAAGGGCUUAGAUUUAGGAUCUACAUAUUCUGGGCAUUGAAUAGGCAGUAACUUACAAAUAAGUUUUGCUUACCUUUUGUUCUAGGGACUAGCACUGCUAUCAAUGGAAAGUAUUUUUAACCUGUUAUUAAGAAAGUCAUAUUUUUGCAUUUCAGCCAAAAUAAAGACCGUAUUUAAUAAUCUGUUAGAAACAGAUAAUACAUGUCUGAAAUCCAUAUGUUUCAUAUAAUCUAAACUGUAUUUUCCAAUUUAAAUUAAAAAUGUAAUAUAGAUUCAGAAAGGUUCAUAUUUUUCUAAUGACUUCUAUAUUAUUUUGUUAGGUUGCAUAAAGAAGCAAGGAAUUGUAUUAAAACAUGAAGAAAGCUAUUAGGUAUAUUUGUACAUGACUGCAAAUGAGUCUAUGCCCGUUUAAAAGAAAAGAUGGACACUAUUUUAAAGUGAGCUUUAAUAUGCUUUUAUAUAAACAAAUUUGAAGUACAGUUUAAUUUGGUUGUGUUUACCUAACAGUACCAUAAGCCUUGUAUUUGUUCUUAUUUGUAUAAUCCUAGCCUGUGACUUAAUGUUGACGCUUUGCUUUGUCUUUUGGCUGGCCUAACCUACAUUGACAUGUACACAGAACAUUUUAAAACUUUUUUUUUCAAAAGUCAUAAUGAAUUACUUUAUUAAUAAACAAAUAAAGUCUUGUAUUUGAA